AUAAUUCAUAGUGGCUGAACACGUUCCUGUUUACUCCAGAGUUGGUUAACAAAGGUCACUGAUAAAAUAAUCUUUUUAACUGGAAUGAAAAACAUCUCAACAAUCCAAGACACUGAAGAGCUGGCCACACCAGGACUUGCUGAUAGUGAUUCAUGGGUGAAAUGAAAGCACAGCAGGCUCGCCGGUCCCUGGUUUCUGGCAAGGUUUUGACAGGUGUCCAAAAAUGAGACACCGGCUUGUGUCCACGGUAGAGAAACGGAGACUGUUGUCUGUGGCCAGUCUUUUCAUUCUGGGACGGGCUGCGGAGCAAGAGCCUGGAGCUGGGGAUGCAGAACCGCCUGUCCAGGGAGGACCCGGGGCCGAGUUCCUGCAUAGGGCGCCUCAGAAGCUGUGGAAUGCACUUGACGCGGGCACCGAGUGCUAGGACUCAAAGGAAAAGAAGAAGGAAAGGAAGCAGCGCAGAAAGGAUAAACGUGGACAUGUUGAAAUGGCCCCAGACAGCAUCUGAAGAGCAACCGGAGCACGCCUACCGAUUUUUCAAAAGCCUGCAUCUGCGCGUGGGCGAGAGGUGGGCCACCACGUGGUGCCGAAUGAGCCCCGUGUCGCACGGCGAGAGGAAGGAGUAGACUGUGUUUCAUGACACGCAGUUGCCGCCUUUCACCCUCGACGUGCAAGAUUCAGCCGAAAGUGGGACUCACAUGCCAGUUGUACUGAGACUGCGGUGUCUUUGAAGCAGGGACGUCAGUGAUGUCACAGAAAUCUCCGUCUGAACAGCGGCGGUCCUGACGUCUUAGCUAAUGGGUGUGUGGCCUCGAAUGUGAGAAUGGUCCCCUUCAAGCCUCCCAACAGCUAUAAUUUGUGUAAGAAGCAAAGCCUGUCCUGAGCAGAGCCUCGCCCACACCAGUCGAUUCUUCAUGGCUCCUCACAUUUCAAAGCUGUGCCUGGACCGCAUCUGGGGAUCUGGUUGGACGCAGAUUGAUUCCGCAGGUCUGGGUGGGCUUGAGGGUCCGCCUUUCUGCCUCCUGGGGAUGCCAAGCCCUCAUCCUCAGGCCUGGAGAGGGCUUACUGAGUUUGAGAGACACAGAUCACCCACUCGCCAGGCCUCCGGUGUCACGGUCAGAUCCAGCCAUACAGCCCUAAGCCAGACUCGGCUCCUGCCCUCCAAGGGUGCAGGCAAAGAGGGCACGUUUGAAGGUGGGAGCUCUGUGGGUUUGACAGGCUGGGGGUGGUCUCCACACCAUGAGAGGCGUUCCGGGGUGGGGGGAAUGUCUGGAAAGAGAGGGGUGGCCUGGCGCCCUGAGGAUAUCUGUGUUUAUGGAGACACCACCAGGCGGCCCCAGACGCUCCCUUCAGCCCGGCCUGGGGAUAAGAACCGUCCAAGCGGCCGCGGCGGGCUCUGCCCUUUCAGAGGCCUUCGAAGGUCACAGACUGGAUGCAGUCACGAGCCAGGACAGAGAUGCUAUUUAUAGAGUGUGCUUGUCCAUCGGUAUUUCUAGUUCAUGUUCCAAAUAGAUAUUUAAUUUUUAAAAGAA